UGAUAGUUCACUUGGCUGAUAGACAUCACGAUGCUGCGCCGGAAACAGUGUCAUCUGCUCCAGUAUCACGCCUGUGCAUCCGUUGUCAUGUGACAGAGAAGUCGCAUCUAUGGACAGUUGUGAACGCGCUGACAGCUGGUUGCCCAGGCUUUGGAUUAAAGGGCCAGCAGAGAAGGCCCUGCUCACCCUGUCGGCCCACCGCUGCUGUCAGACAACAUCUCCAAGAUGCUAUAAACUGCAGGACUAGAUGCCCAUCCCAAGGUUUCUAGAGAUUACACCAGCUCCAAACUGAAUCCAAACUCAUUUGUGAAGACUUCAGAUGACGCCAACGCUGACAAAGACUACAGACGACAACAACUGUACAUGAACACACAAAACAUUAGACACACAAAACAAAUAUUAUCCUUAUUUUGCCUAUAAGGGUAAAUUUGAUGAUUUUCAAC